UGCCCUGCUAUGCAAUACCUUUCCUUCUACUACAGUGGCUCGUCAUUGCCACAACUAAUUAUGGAGCUUGUGUGUCGCUGGUUAUGGCAGCCUAUCAGAUUGGGGCCCAUUAGAUUGAGUUGCAUGUGAUAGUCAGUUCCGUCAGAAAAAGACAAUGAGGGUUUUCUGGUGAUCUGCCACUCGCCGUGGCCUGUCUGUAACAACGAGUCAUGACCAGCGUUUUGAUUUUCGGUUUGACAUUUUUUCGCCCUAGGCCGAGAUGGACGAAAUUCGGUCAUUUUUAAAUUUUUCGACCAAAAUUUGACUGAAAUUUGACCAAAAUUUGACUGAAAUUUGACCAAUUUCAGCGGAAAGAUAGAUCUCGCCCCAGGCCGAGAUGGCCGAAAUCCAUUUUUUUCGGCCUAGCACAACCUCCUCCUCGCUUAAAUUAAAAAAUAAGCUCAUUCCUCCCGUUGCUGGCGUACUCCUUUGCAGUACGAAGAAUGUCAAUCAUAUGCCAUAUUAUUCUGUCACGUGCAAACAAAUCAGGAACAGAAUAAGGAUAGUAUUAUUACGUUGGAGGCAUUAGGCCCAUCCGCUUCUUGCUGCAGGUACACCAAGCCUUCAUAUCUUCUCCAUCUUCUGAACCAUGCUGAUCCUCGCAGGAACUGAGUCAUGAAGAACAUGCGAGUGGCACCAUCCGGACGGAAAAGCUACUUGCCCACCUGUGAAAAACAACAUGGGACCCAAAUCAGAAUAAUUUCGAACCUAAUUAUGCUGUCACAUACAAACUACUUACUGCAAGAACAAAGUAAGAAUCCUAUUAUGUUGGUGGCAUUAGGCCAAUCGACUCCUUGCUGCAGGUACACCAAAUCUUCACGUCAAGACGCCAGAACGUGUGUGGGGUAUCAUAUAGACGGAGAAGGAUGGAGAGAAUACUGCUCCUCUUAGGAACUGGGGCAAGAACGUGCAGAGGGGCAUCAUAUGGACGGAGAAGGAUGGAGAAAACACAUCGCAAUUGUUGUCAGAUGAGAUGGCUGAGACGGAAUUGAUGAAAAACUGGAGGAGAAGCUUGAGCGAGAGAUUAGUUGUUAAUGGAAUAUCGCGAUGGCAAAAGUAUAGGCACCCGAAGGGUGAUCGUCUUCUUUUCCCUAAGCACCAGGAGAAUAUGUGGCGGCCACCAAUUAAUAAGAGGAGACGUGCGUGGGUCAGACCGGGUUCUGUUUAAGCAAAGAAAUUGGAACGUGGAGUAGAUAAAGAUUCUUUUCUUUUAAGAAGAAAGAAGAUAGAGAUCCGCGUCUGAAAAAAAAAGGUGGAGUUUUUUUUUUAAUUGGAUUGAUAAGGAAGGGAAGAAACGGUGGAGAACUAACAGGAUCGUGACAUUGGUGGAGUAUAUUUAGAACCGACAACUGAUUGUGGG
rnacentral:lncRNA from 1 species